rnacentral:rRNA from 1 species
UACGGAGGGGGCUAGCGUUGUUCGGAAUCAUUGGGCGUAAAGGGCGCGUAGGCGGCCGAUCAAGUCGGAGGUGAAAUCCCUCGGCUCAACUGAGGAAUUGCCUUCGAUACUGUUCGGCUUGAGUCCUGGAGAGGGUAGCGGAAUUCCCGGUGUAGCGGUGAGAUGCGUAGAGACCGGGAAGAACACCAGUGGCGAAGGCGGCUACCUGGACAGGUACUGACGCUGAAGCGCGAAAGCUAGGGGAGCAAACAGG